UCAAAUCCAGCUUUCUGCUCUCCACACGCUCUCUCACUUCCAUUAUAUAUCUCUCUCCACUCUCCAACUCCAACUCCCAAAUCCAUUACUACUAGUGAGUAGUGACUUUUUCAUUCAAUUUCCUAACUUUUUUCUCUUUCCAUUGUUCUUCUUUUUUCACUCCCAACACCAAUGGCAUUCCAUGAUCUACUCUUCACACCCACCAUUUCCCUCUUCAUAAUUCUAUUUUCUCUCUUUUCCACCCCUUCCCAUUCUGCCCUCACUUGCGCUUCCCAGAAGCUCAACCGCACCUACGCCAACUGCACCAACCUUCCCACCCUCGGCGCCACCCUCCACUUCACCUUCAACGCCACUAACCGCUCCCUCUCCGUCGCCUUCUCCGCCGAGCCUCCCUCCCGCUCCGGCUGGGUCGCCUGGGGCCUCAACCUCGUCGGCGAUGGCAUGCGCGGCGCCGAAGCCUUCCUCGCCUUCCCCUCCUCCGCCUCCGCCUCCGCCAUCACCCUCGGCCGCUACAACCUCACCUCCUACAAAGCCAUCGACGAAGUCAAAGCCUUUACCUUCGACUCGUGGGACCUCGCGGCCGAAGAAUCCAACGGCGCCGUAACCAUCUACGGCUCCG
rnacentral:lncRNA from 1 species